CCUACGGGUGGCAGCAGUGAGGAAUAUUGGUCAAUGGGCGGAAGCCUGAACCAGCCAAGUCGCGUGAGGGAUGACGGUUCUGUGUAUCGUAAACCUCUUUUGUCAGGGAACAAAGUGCGCGACGUGUCCCGUUUUGUGUGUACCUUAUGAAUAAGUAUCGGCUAACUCCGUGCCAGCAGCCGCGGUAAUACGGAGGAUGCGAUCGUUAUCCGGAUUUAUUGGGUUUAAAGGGUGCGUAGGUGGGAUGUUAAGUCAGCGGGGAAAGUCAGUGGCUCAACCACGGGACUGCCGUUGAACCUGGCAGACGUGAGUAGGCGUGAGGUAGGCGGAAUGCGUGGUGUAGCGGUGAAAUGCAGAGAUAUCGCGCAGAACUCCGAUUGCGAAGGCAGCAUGCCGGGGCAAGACUGACGCUGAGGCACGAAAGCGUGGGGAUCGAACAGGAUUAGAUACCCGGGUAGUC
rnacentral:rRNA from 1 species